AAGUCGUAACAAGGUCUCCGUUGGUGAACCAGCGGAGGGAUCAUUACCGAGUGUAAAAACUCCCAAACCAUUGUGAACCUACCACUGUUGCUUCGGCGGCCUCGCCCCGGGCGCGUUCGCGCGGCCCGGACCCAGGCGUCCGCCGGAGGCUCCAAACUCUUGUCUUUUAGUGUAUUUCUGAGUGGCAUAAGCAAAUAAAUCAAAACUUUCAGCAACGGAUCUCUUGGUUCUG
rnacentral:misc_RNA from 2 species